rnacentral:rRNA from 1 species
AGUGAACGCUGGCGGUAGGCCUAACACAUGCAAGUCGAACGGCAACACAGUAAGAGCUUGCUCUUACGGGUGGCGAGUGGCGGACGGGUGAGGAAUACAUCGGAAUCUACUUUUUCGUGGGGGAUAACGUAGGGAAACUUACGCUAAUACCGCAUACGACCUACGGGUGAAAGCAGGGGAUCUUCGGACCUUGCGCGAUUGAAUGAGCCGAUGUCGGAUUAGCUAGUUGGCGGGGUAAAGGCCCACCAAGGCGACGAUCCGUAGCUGGUCUGAGAGGAUGAUCAGCCACACUGGAACUGAGACACGGUCCAGACUCCUACGGGAGGCAGCAGUGGGGAAUAUUGGACAAUGGGCGCAGGCCUGAUCCAGCCAUACCGAGUGGGUGAAGAAGGCCUUCGGGUUGUAAAGCCCUUUUGUUGGGAAAGAAAAGCAGCAGGUUAAUACCCCGCUGUUCUGACGGUACCCAAAGAAUAAGCACCGGCUAACUUCGUG